rnacentral:rRNA from 1 species
UACGAAGGAGGCUAGCGUUGGUCGGAAUCACUGGGCGUAAAGCGCACGUAGGCGGAUUUGUCAGUCAGGGGUGAAAUCCCGGGGCUCAACCUCGGAACUGCCUUUGAUACAGCAAAUCUCGAGUCCGGAAGAGGUGGGUGGAAUUCCUAGUGUAGAGGUGAAAUUCGUAGAUAUUAGGAAGAACACGAGUGGCGAAGGCGGCCCACUGGUCCGGUACUGACGCUGAGGUGCGAAAGCGUGGGGAGCAAACAGG